rfam:Ochotona princeps cont2.342298, whole genome shotgun sequence.
AAAACAAAGGUGCCUUUGCCAAUAUUACAUUUCUCUUUGACAAGGCUUGAGAUUUCUAAGGGGAAUCCACUAUAAAUGGGAUCAGGGAGUUUAUUUAUAUUGUGUGCAAUUAUGUCUUAAAGAUUCAACCUU